rnacentral:rRNA from 1 species
UUAUACAUGCAAGUCGAACGGAGUAGCAAUACUUAGUGGCAGACGGGUGAGUAACAUGUGGGAAUCUUCCCUUUGGUGAGGAAUAACACGAGGAAACUUGUGCUAAUACCUCAUAAGUCUUUACAGAGAAAGCUUUAUGCGCCAAUGGAUGAGCCCGCACUUGAUUAGUUUGUUGGUGGGGUAAUGGCCCACCAAGACUGUGAUCAAUAGCUGAUCUGAGAGGAUGAUCAGCCACAUUGGGACUGAGACACGGCCCAAACUCCUACGGGAGGCAGCAGUAAGGAAUCUUGCACAAUGGAGGAAACUCUGAUGCAGCGAUGCCGCGUGAGUGAAGAAGGCCCUUGGGUUGUAAAGCUCUUUCGUCGGGGAAGAAAAUGACUGUACCCGAAUAAGAAGGUCCGGCUAACUUCGUGCCAGCAGCCGCGGUAAUACGAAGGGACCUAGCGUAGUUCGGAAUUACUGGGCUUAAAGAGUUCGUAGGUUGUUAAAAAAGUUGGUGGUGAAAUCCCAGAGCUUAACUCUGGAACUGCCAUCAAAACUUUUUAGCUAGAGUUUGAUAGAGGAAAGCAGAAUUUCUAGUGUAGAGGUGAAAUUCGUAGAUAUUAGAAAGAAUACCAAUUGCGAAGGCAGCUUUCUGGAUCAUUACUGACACUGAGGAACGAAAGCAUGGGUAGCGAAGAGGAUUAGAUACCCUCGUAGUCCAUGCUGUAAACGAUGUGUGUUAGACGUUGGAAAAUUAUUUUUCAGUGUCGCAGCGAAAGCAUUAAACACACCGCCUGGGGAGUAC